rnacentral:rRNA from 1 species
AACGAACGCUGGCGGCAUGCCUAACACAUGCAAGUCGAACGAUUGCCUUCGGGUGAUAGUGGCGCACGGGUGCGUAACGCGUGGGAAUCUGCCCUUAGGUUCGGAAUAACAGCUGGAAACGGCUGCUAAUACCGGAUGAUAUCGCGAGAUCAAAGAUUUAUCGCCUGAGGAUGAGCCCGCGUUGGAUUAGGUAGUUGGUGGGGUAAAGGCCUACCAAGCCGACGAUCCAUAGCUGGUCUGAGGGGAUGAUCAGCCACACUGGGACUGAGACACGGCCCAGACUCCUACGGGAGGCAGCAGUGGGGAAUAUUGGACAAUGGGCGCAAGCCUGAUCCAGCAAUGCCGCGUGAGUGAUGAAGGCCCUAGGGUUGUAAAGCUCUGUUACCCGGGAAGAUAAUGACUGUACCGGGAGAAUAAGCCCCGGCUAACUCCGUG